AAAGUUAUCAAAUUAAAAGCAGUUCGUUUGAUUUUCGGAAAUUCUCAUCAUUCUCAGCGUGUUAAAUUGCCUUUCUUAGUGCGAAACGUGCUGUUUAACGAUGGGCAAAACAUGGUUUGUGAUUGGAUGAAAUGCUGGAUUCGCCACAUGUUCAGAGAAAGUAAGUUUAUUUAAAGGAUCUAAAGAUCGGAAUUAUUACUGAAGUGGCGGCGAAUGAUUCCUUAGAGAAGACAGACUUUACAAAUAAACUGAUUUUGUUUUUGAAAGACAUUUUGCACCCCACUUUAUUAUUAAAGACUGGAAUGAUACUAACAGAAGUAUGCGGAAGUUUCUGGGAGUAAAUGGAAAAUUAGAUGACAACAACAUAAGAAUUUUAAUAUUUUUCUGAUAGUCCUCAUCUCAUAAAAACAAUCAGAAAUCGGCUUAUUAAUGGACAUAAUUUACGGUUUGAAUGAUGGCAUCAUUAAAUGGGAACAUUAUCAAGCUGUUCUUGCUCUGGAUUCAAACAAAGCAGGAUGCUUAAAAAUUUUUUAACUCUUCAACAGCUGAGGGUCUCCGAGUCACUUUGAUCUAGACCAGGGGUGGCCAAAAGGUGGCGCAUGCGCCAAACGUGGCGCAUUGGACAAUUAAAAGUGGCGCUUCAGUUAGUUCUGAGCAAAAUUGCCAGAUUUGGCUUUUUUGCGAUUAAGAAUAUUAUAUAGAAAAAUAAAUUUUUUAUAAUCUGUCUUGGCAAGUUCAUUUGUUGCACAAUUCGUUACAGUCUAUUUUGCAGAUAAAAUGAGUA